rnacentral:RNase_P_RNA from 1 species
ACAGUCGGGCGUUUCGUCGCUCGCCGAUGAACAAGCGGCGUGAGGAAAGUCCGGGCAACAUAGAGCACCACACUUUCUAACGGAAAGCUGCGGGUGACCGCAGAGUAGUGUGACAGAAAAGAACCGCCACAUCAGUGGUAAGGGUGAAAAGGCGGGGUAAGAGCCCACCGGGCUUCAUGGUGACAUGAGGUGCCGCACAUCUUUGGGUUGCAAGGCCAUGUAUACCGGCAUUUAAGGAUUGCUCGUCCAUUGUCGGGGGGUAGGCUGCUACAGCCGGCUGGCAACAGCCGGCGCAGAUAAAUGACGAAACAUCGGAGCAAGCCUGAGGGAACUGCUUCCGGUGACAUAACCCGGCUUAUAGCCCGGCUGUCUUU